rnacentral:misc_RNA from 1 species
AAGUCGUAACAAGGUCUCCGUAGGUGAACCUGCGGAAGGAUCAUUAACACGUAUCCACGUAUCAACCAACUGUGCACUUGUUUUCAACUCUCCCUGCUCGGUACAUGAAUUGAAGAGAAUUUAGUAAUGUUGAGGAGUCUCUCGGGACUCAGCUAUCUUCUCUAACUUGACUUCGGUCAGACAAUUGUAGUACUGCGGUCAGGCAACCUUCUGCUUACAACCUUCUCUCAUCUGAAGGGAGUAGUGGAAUUAAACACACAUUUCACCCUAUUUUUGCUAGUUGACUUUUAUAUGUUGUCUUAUUCGAUACUUCGGUAUUGCGUAAUUCACACGUUUAUUAUUUGAACGUUAAAUUUACAACUCUUAGCAAUGGAUAUCUUGGUUCUC